UACGUAGGGGGCGAGCGUUGUCCGGAGUUACUGGGCGUAAAGGGCGCGCAGGCGGUCCGGCAAGUUUGGAGUGACAGUGCUCGGCUUAACUGAGCAAGGCCUUUGAAAACUGCUGGACUUGAGCACUCAAGAGGGACAUAGAAUUCCGGGUGGAGUGGUGAAAUGCGUAGAUAUCUGGAGGAAUACCAAAGGCGAAGGCAGUGUCCUGGGGAGUGUCUGACGCUCAGGCGCGAAAGCCAGGGGAGCGAACAGG
rnacentral:rRNA from 1 species